GGAGGGCUCGCCUAAUGGCAUGGCACCGCUCUUGAAAAGCGGCGAGCGCAAGCUCUUAGAGGUUCGACUCCUCUGCCCUCCGCCA
rnacentral:tRNA from 1 species